rnacentral:rRNA from 1 species
CUCAAAUGAAUUGACGGGGACCCGCACAAGCGGUGGAUGAUGUGGAUUAAUUCGAUGCAACGCGAAAAACCUUACCUACCCUUGACAUGUACGGAAGGCCGAAGAGAUUUGGCUGUGCUCGAAAGAGAACCGUAACACAGGUGCUGCAUGGCUGUCGUCAGCUCGUGUCGUGAGAUGUUGGGUUAAGUCCCGCAACGAGCGCAACCCUUGUCAUUAGUUGCUACAUUUAGUUGAGCACUCUAAUGAGACUGCCGGUGACAAACCGGAGGAAGGUGGGGAUGACGUCAAGUCCUCAUGGCCCUUAUGGGUAGGGCUUCACACGUCAUACAAUGGUACAUACAGAGGGCCGCCAACCCGCGAGGGGGAGCUAAUCCCAGAAAGUGUAUCGUAGUCCGGAUCGCAGUCUGCAACUCGACUGCGUGAAGUUGGAAUCGCUAGUAAUCGCGGAUCAGCAUGUCGCGGUGAAUACGUUCCCGGGUCUUGCACACACCGCCCGU